AACGUAGGAGGCGAGCGUUAUCCGGAUUUACUGGGCGUAAAGCGCAUGUAGGCGGCUUCGUGAGUCGGAUGUGAAAGCUCCUAGCUUAACUGGGAGAGGCCAUUCGAUACUGCGGGGCUUGAGGUUGGAAGAGGGGUGCGGAAUUCCCGGUGUAGUGGUGGAAUGCGUAGAUAUCGGGAGGAACACCUGUGGCGAAAGCGGCACCCUGGUCCACACCUGACGCUGAGAUGCGAAAGCGUGGGUAGCAAACAGGG
rnacentral:rRNA from 1 species